AUGGAGGACCCAGCAAGAGCGGCUCCUGAGGAAUGCCAGCGGGGUACUCUGGGUCUUUUUCAAAACUUCUGGAACCCUGGCGUUCACCGUGCCAGAAAUUAGUUGCCAGUCCUGCAAGCCUGGAAAGCAGGCCAGAGGCAUGCAAGUGGAGCACAGACAUGCAUUUGGGUAAAACACCCAUACAUAUAAAAUAAAAAAUUUUUUAAAUUAGAGAGCGCGCGUGCACGCACUCAGGAGGUGAUACUGAAUCCAGAUGUGAAACGGAAGACCAUGAACAGAGAGGCAGGGAGGACCAGAGCACAGCGCUCUCAGUGGUUUGAAGUGCAGGUGAAGAAUCCUGGGGUGAAGCUGUCUGAAGGUGACAUUGUUCAUCCCACCAAAUACAACACAAGGUGCCAUGGGCCAUGAGAAGAGGUUCAAACACAACCGUGUACUCAGACUCGUCAAACAUGAAAAGUGUCUCUGGGGAUGGCUGCAGAAGCCAUGUUUCUGUUUUGCCUAUUAACUUUGUGCUGUGUUUCCUGGGCUUUCUCUCAUGUCUGACAUAAA